GCGCAGAUACCAAAGUGGCCAACUGGGGCUGACUGUAAAUCAGCUGGCUUUGCCUUCGGUGGUUCGAAUCCGCCUCUGCGCA
rnacentral:tRNA from 1 species